rnacentral:rRNA from 1 species
GACGAACGCUGGCGGCGUGCCUAAUACAUGCAAGUAGAACGCACAGUUUAUACCGUAGCUUGCUACACCAUAAACUGUGAGUUGCGAACGGGUGAGUAACGCGUAGGUAACCUGCCUGGUAGCGGGGGAUAACUAUUGGAAACGAUAGCUAAUACCGCAUAAUAUUGAUUAUUGCAUGAUAAUUGAUUGAAAGAUGCUAUUGCAUCACUACCAGAUGGCUCUGCGUUGUAUUAGCUAGUAGGUGAGGUAACGGCUCACCUAGGCGACGAUACAUAGCCGACCUGGGAGGGUGGUCGGCCACACUGGGACUGAGACACGGCCCAGACUCCUACGGGAGGCAGCAGUAGGGAAUCUUCGGCAAUGGACGAAAGUCUGACCGAGCAACGCCGCGUGAGUGAAGAAGGGUUUCGGAUCGUAAAGCUCUGUUGUAAGAGAAGAACGGGUGUGAGAGUGGAAAGUUCACACUGUGACGGUAUCUUACCAGAAAGGGACGGCUAACUACGUG